rnacentral:tRNA from 2 species
AGCUCCGUGGUGUAUAACAUAUUAGAUUGCAAAUCUAAAGUCGUAGAUUAACGUCUGCCGGGGCUU